GCUUAGCCCUAAACACAGAUAAUUACAUAAACAAAUUAUUUGCCAGAGUACCACCAGCAACAGCUUAAAACUCAAAGGACUUGGCGGUGCUUUAUAUCCUUC
rnacentral:rRNA from 1 species